rnacentral:rRNA from 1 species
AGAGUUUGAUCAUGGCUCAGAGCGAACGUUAGCGGCGGGCCUAACACAUGCAAGUCGAACGAGAAAGCUCCUUCGGGAGUGAUUAAAGUGGCGCACGGGUGAGGAACGCGUAGGUAAUCCACCCUCUGGCGGGGGACAACACUCCGAAAGGAAUGCUAAUACCGCGUAAGACCACGCUCACUUCGGUGAAAGCGGUUAAAGGUGCCUCAAAGCACCACCAGAGGACGAGCCUGCGUCCCAUCAGCUUGUUGGUAAGGUAAUGGCUUACCAAGGCGAAGACGGGUAGCUGGUCUGAGAGGAUGAUCAGCCACACUGGCACUGGAACACGGGCCAGACUCCUACGGGAGGCAGCAGUGAGGAAUAUUGGGCAAUGGGCGAAAGCCUGACCCAGCCACGCCGCGUGUGUGAUGAAGGCCUUCGGGUCGUAAAGCACUGUGGGGAGAGACGAAACAGCGCAGGAGGAAAUGCCUGCGCCUUGACGGUACCUCCUUAGCAAGCACCGGCUAACUCUGUGCCAGCAGCCGCGGUAAUACAGAGGGUGCAAACGUUGCUCGGAUUUACUGGGCGUAAAGCGCGUGUAGGCGGACUCGCAAGUCGGUUGUGAAAUCCCUGGGCUCAACCUAGGAACUGCAUCCGAAACUGCUUGUCUUGAGUAAUGGAGAGGGUGGCGGAAUUCCCGGUGUAGAGGUGAAAUUCGUAGAUAUCGGGAGGAACACCAGUGGCGAAGGCGGCCACCUGGACAUUUACUGACGCUGAGACGCGAAAGCGUGGGGAGCAAACAGGAUUAGAUACCCUGGUAGUCCACGCCGUAAACGAUGAGAACUAGGUGCAGCGGAUAUUGACCUCUGCUGUGCCGUAGCUAACGCGUUAAGUUCUCCGCCUGGGGAGUACGGCCGCAAGGCUAAAA